rnacentral:rRNA from 1 species
GACGAACGCUGGCGGCGUGCUUAACACAUGCAAGUCGAGCGGAAAAGCCCUGCUUUUGUGGGGUGCUCGAGUGGCGAACGGGUGAGUAACACGUGAGUAACCUGCCCUUGACUUUGGGAUAACUUCAGGAAACUGGGGCUAAUACCGGAUAGGAGCUCCUGCUGCAUGGUGGGGGUUGGAAAGUUUCGGCGGUUGGGGAUGGACUCGCGGCUUAUCAGCUUGUUGGUGGGGUAGUGGCUUACCAAGGCUUUGACGGGUAGCCGGCCUGAGAGGGUGACCGGCCACAUUGGGACUGAGAUACGGCCCAGACUCCUACGGGAGGCAGCAGUGGGGAAUAUUGCACAAUGGGCGGAAGCCUGAUGCAGCAACGCCGCGUGCGGGAUGACGGCCUUCGGGUUGUAAACCGCUUUCGCCUGUGACGAAGCGUGAGUGACGGUAAUGGGUAAAGAAGCACCGGCUAACUACGUG